rnacentral:rRNA from 1 species
GAAUUCAACUCCUACGGGAGGCAGCAGUGGGGAAUUUUGGACAAUGGGCGUAAGCCUGAACCAGCCAUCCCGCGUGAAGGAAGAAGGCCCUAUGGGUUGUAAACUUCUUUUCCAGGGGAAGAAAACUCCCGAUGUAUCGGGACUUGCCGGUACCCUGGGAAUAAGCAUCGGCUAACUCCGUGCCAGCAGCCGCGGUAAUACGGAGGAUGCGAGCGUUAUCCGGAUUUACUGGGUUUAAAGGGUGCGUAGGCGGAUUAAUAAGUCAGCGGUGAAAACCUUCAGCUUAACUGGAGACUUGCCAUUGAUACUGUUAGUCUUGAGUACGGUCAAGGUAGGCGGAAUGUGUAAUGUAGCGGUGAAAUGCUUAGAUAUUACACAGAACACCGAUUGCGAAGGCAGCUUACUGGGCCGCAACUGACGCUGAUGCACGAAAGCGUGGGGAGCGAACAGGAUUAGAAACCCUAGUAGUCCAGGCGUU